rnacentral:rRNA from 1 species
GCGGACGGGUGAGUAACACGUGGGUAACCUGCCCAUAAGACUGGGAUAACUCCGGGAAACCGGGGCUAAUACCGGAUAACAUUUUGAACCGCAUGGUUCGAAAUUGAAAGGCGGCUUCGGCUGUCACUUAUGGAUGGACCCGCGUCGCAUUAGCUAGUUGGUGAGGUAACGGCUCACCAAGGCAACGAUGCGUAGCCGACCUGAGAGGGUGAUCGGCCACACUGGGACUGAGACACGGCCCAGACUCCUACGGGAGGCAGCAGUAGGGAAUCUUCCGCAAUGGACGAAAGUCUGACGGAGCAACGCCUCGUGAGUGAUGAAGGCUUUCUAGUCGUAAAACUCUGUUGUUAGGGAAGA